CAGCAGCCACGGUAAUACGAAGGGGGCUAGCGCUGUUCGGAUUUACUGGGCGUAAAGCGCACGUAGGCGGAUCGUUAAGUCGGGGGUGAAAUCCUGGAGCUCAACUCCAGAACUGCCUUCGAUACUGGCGAUCUUGAGUAUGGUAGAGGUGAGUGGAAUUCCGAGUGUAGAGGUGAAAUUCGUAGGUAUUCGCAAGAACACCAGUGGCGAAGGCGGCUCACUGGCCCGGUACUGACGCUGAGGCGCGAAAGCGUGGGGAGCAAACAGGAUUAGAUACCCCAGUAGUCCCUGUCUCUUAUAC
rnacentral:rRNA from 1 species